UCCCUGGUGGUCCAGUGGUUAGGACUCUGCACUUCCACUGCAGGGGGCCCGGGUUCGAUCCCUGGUCAGGGAA
rnacentral:tRNA from 1 species